UUGUGCGCAUGUGCAAUAAGUAUUUCGCAUAUUAGGACAGUUGUCUGGUGCAACUCAUCAGAGAUCUUUAAUGGUGAUGCUCGAUUAAAUUUAUAAUUUAUAGAUAUAGUUUAUAGUUCUUGAACGUCAACAAAAGAAUUUCCUACAUAGCUUGAUCAUACGGUUGGAAAAUUCCAAUGGAAAUAAUGUCAAUCCUGGACAAAUUGUCAUAUAUUAGUCGUGUUCGUCGUUUGACGCACGUGUCAAGCAUAUGUGUAGGAUUUGGAAGUACAAGAUACACAUAUUAUGUAUACAUAUAUACAGGAUUUAUCUAUCAUACAGACUGACUCAUUAACCUGUAAUCGAGAAGCCAUUACGACAUUUUCAGACAAGGUUUCUUUAAUUUUAAAUUUAAAACGAGAGAAGAAUAAAUUUUGAGAAGUAAAUUGUUAUUUAAUUAAUUAAUCGGA